UACGGAAGGCAGCAGUGGGGAAUAUUGCACAAUGGGCGCAAGCCUGAUGCAGCCAUGCCGCGUGUAUGAAGAAGGCCUUCGGGUUGUAAAGUACUUUCAGCGGGGAGGAAGGCGAUGCGGUUAAUAACCGCGUCGAUUGACGUUACCCGCAGAAGAAGCACCGGCUAACUCCGUGCCAGCAGCCGCGGUAAUACGGAGGGUGCAAGCGUUAAUCGGAAUUACUGGGCGUAAAGCGCACGCAGGCGGUCUGUUAAGUCAGAUGUGAAAUCCCCGGGCUUAACCUGGGAACUGCAUUUUGAAACUGGCAGGCUUGAGUCUUGUAGAGGGGGUAGAAUUCCAGGUGUAGCGGUGAAAUGCGUAGAGAUCUGGAGGAAUACCGGUGGCGAAGGCGGCCCCUGGGACAAAGACUGACGCUCAGGGUGCGAAAGCGUGGGGAGCGAAACAGGAUUAGGAUACC
rnacentral:rRNA from 1 species